UCACACAGGAAACAGCUAUGACCAUGAUUACGAAUUCGAGCUCGGUACCCGGGGAUCCUCUAGAGAUUCCUACGGGAGGCAGCAGUGGGGAAUCUUGCACAAUGGAGGAAACUCUGAUGCAGCGACGCCGCGUGAGCGAUGAAGCCCUUCGGGGUGUAAAGCUCUUUCGACAGGA
rnacentral:rRNA from 1 species